rnacentral:rRNA from 1 species
CAGUACCGUGAGGGAAAGGUGAAAAGGACCCCGGGAGGGGAGUGAAAUAGAACCUGAAACCUUGUGCUUACAAGCACUCAAAGCCCGUUAAUGGGUGAUGAGGUACCUUUUGUAGAAUGGUCCGGCGAGUUAUUGUUAUCAGCAAGCUUAAGGUAUUCAGUACCGAAGGCGAAGGGAAACCGAGUGUUAAUAGCGCGACUUAGUUGGUGGCAAUAGACCCGAAACCGGGUGACCUAUCCAUGGGCAGGUUGAAGUGGAGGUAAAACUCCAUGGAGGACCGAACGCACGUUCGUUGCAAUGACCGGCGAUGACCUGUGGAUAGCGGUGAAAUUCCAAUCGAACCCGGAGAUAGCUGGUUCUCCCCGAAAUAGCUUUAGGGCUAGCGUUAUGUUAGAUUACCGGAGGUAAAGCACUGAAUGGGCUAGGGGCUGAUAAAGUUACUGAACCCUAUCAAACUCAGAAUGCCGGCUAAUUGAUGCAUAGCAGUCAGACUACGUGAGAUAAGUCUCGUGGUCAAAAGGGAAACAGCCCAGACCCACAGCUAAGGUCCCUAAUAGAUACUAAGUGGAAAACGAUGUGAGAUUGCCCAGACAACCAGGAUGUUGGCUUAGAAGCAGCCACUCAUUAAAAGAGUGCGUAAUAGCUCACUGGUCGAGUGGUCUUGCGCGGAAAAUAUAACGGGGCUAAGUAUCUAACCGAAGCUUGGGCUUGCGUUUACGCAGGGGUAGGGGAGCGUCGAAUACGGGGUGAAGUCAGAGCGGAAGCACUGGUGGACUGUAUUCGAGUGAGAAUGCCGGAAUGAGUAGCGAGAAUUAUGUGGGAAUCAUAAUGGCCGAAAAUCUAAGGUUUCCUGGGGAAGGUUCGUCCGCCCAGGGUUAGUCGGGAGCUAAGGCGAGGCCGCGAGGCGUAGUCGAUGCACAUACGGUUGAAAUUCCGUAACCACCUUAUCGAAUGAAAGCUGACACUUGGAAAUAGCGGGACCCGGAGAUUGGUAGAUCCGGGCGUAAGGGACCGAAUACGAGUAGGGAAGUCCGCGAUGUUCCGAGGCGAGAAAAGGCGAAGGUAGGGUGCCCGUACCGCAAACCGACACAGGUAGAUGAGGAGAGAAUCCUAAGGCCAACGGGAGAAGGGUUGUUAAGGAACUCGGCAAAUUGACCCCGUAACUUCGGAAGAAGGGGAGCCUCGAAAGAGGCCGCAGUGAAUAGGCCCAAGCAACUGUUUACCAAAAACACAGGUCUAUGCUAAAUCGAAAGAUGACGUAUAUGGGCUGACGCCUGCCCGGUGCUGGAAGGUUAAGAGGAGAUGUCAGGCAACGAAGCAUUGAAUCGAAGCCCCAGUAAACGGCGGCCGUAACUAUAACGGUCCUAAGGUAGCGAAAUUCCUUGUCAGGUAAGUUCUGACCCGCACGAAUGGCGUAACGAUUUGGGCGCUGUCUCAACAGCCCACCCGGCGAAAUUGUUGUACUGGUGAAGAAGCCAGUUACCCGCAACUAGACGGAAAGACCCCAUGGAGCUUUACUGCAGCUUAAUACUGGAAUUCGGUAAUUCAUGUACAGGAUAGGUGGGAGACUGGGAACUACUGUCGUCAGGCAGUAGGGAGUCGCCCUUGGGAUACCACUCUUGAAUUGCUGGGUUUCUAACCUGCGGCCGUGAAUCCGGUCGGGGGACACUGUUAGGCAGACAGUUUGACUGGGGCGGUCGCCUCCUAAAAGGUAACGGAGGCGCUCAAAGGUUGGCUCAGCACGGACGGAAAUCGUGCAAUGAGUGUAAACGUAUAAGCCAGCCUAACUGCGAGAGUGACGGCUCGAGCAGUAACGAAAGUUGGAGUUAGUGAUCCGGUGGUAUGUGAGUGGAAAUGCCAUCGCUCAACGGAUAAAAGCUACCCUGGGGAUAACAGGCUGAUCUCCCCCAAGCGUCCACAGCGACGGGGAGGUUUGGCACCUCGAUGUCGGCUCGUCACAUCCUGGGGCUGUAUUCGGUCCCAAGGGUUCGGCUGUUCGCCGAUUAAAGUGGCACGCGAGCUGGGUUCAGAACGUCGUGAGACAGUUCGGUCCCUAUCUGUUGCGGGCGUAAGAGAUUUGAAGGGGGCUGUCCUUAGUACGAGAGGACCGGGAUGGACGCACCUCUGGUGCACCUGUUGUCGUGCCAACGGCAUAGCAGGGUAGCUACGUGCGGACGAGAUAAACGCUGAAAGCAUCUAAGCGUGAAACUUUCCCUAAGAUAAGAUCUCUCAUCCUUCAUGGAGUAAGGCACGAUGUAGACUAUAUCGU